rnacentral:rRNA from 1 species
AUACGGAGGGGAGCUAGCGUUGUUCGGAAUUACUGGGCGUAAAGCGCGCGUAGGCGGUUUUUAAGUCAGAGGUGAAAGCCCGGGGCUCAACCCCCGGAAUUGCCUUUGAAACUGGAAAACUAGAAUCUUGGAGAGGUCAGUGGAAUUCCGAGUGUAGAGGUGAAAUUCGUAGAUAUUCGGAAGAACACCAGUGGCGAAGGCGACUGACUGGACAAGUAUUGACGCUGAGGUGCGAAAGCGUGGGGAGC